rnacentral:rRNA from 1 species
GGAAGCAGCAGUGAGGAAUUUUUCACAAUGGGCGAAAGCCUGAUGGAGCAAUACCACGUGAACGAUGAAGGUCUUCUGAUUGUAAAGUUCUUUUAUUUAGGAAAAAAAGCAGGAUAGGAAAUGAUUCUGCCGUGAUUGUACUAAUUGAAUAAGUGACAGCUAACUAUGUGCCAGCAGCUGCGGUAAAACAUAGGUCACGAGCAUUAUCCGGAUUUAUUGGGCGUAAAGGAAGCGUAGGUGGAGGAGUUGAUCCAUUGUCAAAAGCAUCUGCUUAACAGGUGUCCGCGAUGGAUAUCGCUUCUCUAGAAUUAGUUAGGGGGUACUGGAAUUCAAUGUGUAGCGGUGGAAUGCGUAGAUAUAUUGAGGAACACCAGAGGCUAAGGCGAGUACCUGGGACAUAAUUGACACUGAGGCUUGAAAGCGUGGGGAGCAAAUGGGAUUAGAUACCCCAGUAGUCCACGCCGUAAACGAUGGGUAUUAGGUAUUUGGUUUAAAACUGAGUGCUGUAAGCUAACGCGUUA